GCAGAAAAAGAAUUUCGAUGACACGAGACCACUAAAUAUUUUUUCACAUUAUUGACAAGUGCUGGCCACUUAAAGCGGCUGCUCAAGAGAAUUUGCGCGCGGGCCAACUUGCUACUCCCAAGUAGUUUACCAAACUCAGUUCCAAAGAUUGAGGGCCUAUACACACUGACUAGUUUUGGAGGGAAUAAGUAAGUGAUGCUGAAGAAAGCUUUGCACUUUAAUUCCUCGACUCCUGCUUCUCACUUCGAGAGGUAAUAAUGGAUCCAUAGCGUCGGAAUCAUAGGGAAACAAAGGUGCAAGUUAUGUGGGAUUAGUUGUCAAGCAGAUGUGUAAUUCUGCUAUUAAUUGUUGUAUUCAAAUAAUCUUUCCAUGCUUUUCUUGUUUUGUUUUUGUUAGAUUUUGUUUUGUUAUUUUUGUUGUAUUUUGUUUGGUUAUUCUAGUUAUACUUUAAUUUCGUAUUAAUAUAGCUAGAAUCAUCUUGUUUGUGAAAAAAAAUAAUCUUGCCAGUUGAAUGUAAAUUUAUGCCUAUAUAUA